rnacentral:misc_RNA from 1 species
GAUGAAGAACGCAGUGAAAUGCGAUAAGUAAUGUGAAUUGCAGAAUUCAGUGAAUCAUUGAAUCUUUGAACGCACAUUGCGCCCCCUGGCAUUCCGGGGGGCAUGCCUGUUCGAGCGUCAUUACAACCCUCAAGCUCUGCUUGGUAUUGGGCUCUGCCGGUCCCGGCAGGCCUUAAAAUCAGUGGCGGCGCCACUCGGCUUCAAGCGUAGUAAUUCUUCUCGCUUCGGAGACCCGGGUGCGUGCUAGCCAGCAACCCCCAACUUUCUCAGGUUGACCUCGGAUCAGGUAGGGAUACCCGCUGAACUUAAGCAUAUCAAUAAGCGGAGGA